AAUGAACGUUGGCGGCGUGCCUAACACAUGCAAGUCGAGCGAGAAAGUUCCUUCGGGAAUGAGUACAGCGGCGGACGGGUGAGCAACACGUAAGAAUCUGCCCUAUAGUGAGGAAUACCCUCGAGAAAUUGAGGUUAAUACUGCAUAAGUCCCUGCGGGGAGAAAAGCGUCUUUUAUGUCGCUGCUAUAGGAUGAGCUUGCGGACUAUCAGCUUGUUGGUGAGGUAAAGGCUCACCAAGGCUAUGACGGUUAACCGGCCUGAGAGGGUGUACGGUCACAUAGGCACUGAGAUACGGGCCUGACUCCUACGGGAGGCAGCAGUGGGGAAUAUUGCGCAAUGGGCGAAAGCCUGACGCAGCGACGCCGCGUGGAGGAUGAAGGUCUUAGGAUUGUAAACUCCUGUCAGAUGGGAAGAAAAUAUCAUAUUUAAUAGAUAUGAGGAAUGACGGUACCAUCAGAGGAAGCACCGGCUAACUUCGUGCCAGCAGCCGCGGUAAUACGAAGGGUGCAAACGUUAUUCGGAAUCACUGGGCGUAAAGGGUGCGUAGACGGUAUGUUAAGUUCGUCGUUAAAGACUCCGGCCUAACCGGAGCACCGCGAUGAAAACUGGCGUACUAGAGGGUGAGAGAGAGAAGUGGAAUUCCUGGAGUAGCGGUAAAAUGCGUGGAUCUCAGGAGGAACACCAAUGGCGAAGGCAGCUUCUUGGCUCAUUCCUGACGUUG
rnacentral:rRNA from 1 species